AACAGAUUGUGGUUUCCAGUGCAAAAACAUACUCAGUUGUUUUCUUGUAUUCAUUUAAAGAACGAUUUUUCCUGCCAUCACGCCAUACACCACAUUCUUUCGGCUCCGGGCAAUUACUUGGUAGACCUUGCCUUGGUAGACCUGCUGUAAUAGUGAGCGGCUGCCAUCAUCAUACGAACAAAAGAAAAUAAAGGAAGAUACAAGAAUCCGUCAGGCCUAAAUGUAUUAGUCCCUGUAUGAAACACAUACAUGUUUCACACCAUGAUGCUCCUGGCUGCAUUCUGUAAGCAGGGCUCCUUUUGACGCUUCUGUGUUGCUCGCUGGGAUCCUGGACACCGCAGACCUGGCCCUGCCCACCACCGCGAGGACAUGCAGCUGGCUUAAUGUUUUGUCACCGAAACGAAUUGUGGAACUUCCUCGUCGUCUCACUUGCAUGAAUAAAAGGAGGAGGAGGAGGAGGAUGGAGAGGAUGAGGAAGAGGAUGGGGGAGGAGGAAUAUAAAGGAAUACAAAGAAAGACAAAACAUCAACAGACACUGAAGUCUUUACGAGGAGGAAGAGGAGGAGGAGUACGAAAAGGAGCACAAGCGGGAUCAGGAAGACGACAAACAAUUCUUAUAAUGACGCAUCCCUUUCCUGUCAUCUUCACAACUGUAAUUUUAGAAGAAUUUAGCAAUUCUAGGCAGCGGCAGCCACGGAACUGUGCGGCUGAUCCAUCGCGAAGGCGAGUGAACUGCCUGGAAGAACCUGCUGCCUUUUUGUCCGCCGUGGCUGCUGCUGCGGGAAGCCCGAGUAUUACCGGAACUUGACGAUGUCGGCGGCGUGCCACGCACUCUGCCUGUCUGCCUGGAUCCGCCGAUAGUCCUCCCGGAGUUUGUCGGGGAUGCGUGCGACAAGUACCUUGCGGACAGCCUGAAAGUUAUGUCUUCCACACCAUCGACGUUGGUGCCGUCUGUCGCGUCUUGGAAGCUUCAAACUGCUAGAUGAAAGACAACGACGAAGACUGGUACUAGUGCAUCCCGCCCGAAGUGUUGCUCCUCCAGCCGGUGUCUCCUGCCGGCGACGUGUGUAGCUUCGGCGCCCUCAUGAAACACGCGAUUCAGAAGUGCUAUAAGGAACUACAGAAGUGUUUAGACUCAGCAAGGAGCCUUGAAGACCUUGGGAUGUGCUGCUUAUUUCACUUGGCCUCAGAUAUAUUUGAUGUAUUGCUAUGCCUGUUUUGAUUUUAUACUCAAUUUAAAUUUCUCAAAA